rnacentral:rRNA from 1 species
CUACGUGCCAGCAGCCGCGGUAAUACGGAAGGUCCGGGCGUUAUCCGGAUUUAUUGGGUUUAAAGGGAGCGUAGGCUGGAGAUUAAGUGUGUUGUGAAAUGUAGACGCUCAACGUCUGAAUUGCAGCGCAUACUGGUUUCCUUGAGUACGCACAACGUUGGCGGAAUUCGUCGUGUAGCGGUGAAAUGCUUAGAUAUGACGAAGAACUCCGAUUGCGAAGGCAGCUGACGGGAGCGCAACUGACGCUUAAGCUCGAAGGUGCGGGUAUCAAACAGGAUUAGAUACCCUGGUAGUCCGCACAGUAAACGAUGGAUGCCCGUUGUUAGUUCACUUAAGAAUUAGCGACCAAGCGAAAGCAUUAAGCAUCCCACCUGGGGAGUACGCCGGCAACGGUGAAACUCAAAGGAAUUGACGGGGGCCCGCACAAGCGGAGGAACAUGUGGUUUAAUUCGAUGAUACGCGAGGAACCUUACCCGGGCUUGAA